rnacentral:rRNA from 1 species
AGGGUUUGAUCCUGGCUCAGGGCUAACGCUGGCGGCGUGUCUUAGCCAUGCAAGUCGUGGGCGAAACUCCGACUUUGUCGGGGGAGUAGACCGGCGGACGGCGGAGUAACACGUGACUAACCUGCCUUUGGGACCGGGACAACCACUCGAAAGGGUGGCUAAUCCCGGAUACAGUCCUGACAGGGCAUCCUGUCGGGAUGAAAGGGGGCCUAUGGUUUCAAGCUCCCACCCAAAGAGGGGGUCGCGACCCAUCAGGUUGUUGGUGAGGUAAAAGCUCACCAAGCCUAUGACGGGUAGCCGGCGUGAGAGCGUGGCCGGCCCGAGGGGCACUGAGACACGGGCCCCACUCCUACGGGAGGCAGCAGGCUAGAAACUUGGGCAAUGGGGGCAACCCUGACCCAGCGACGCCGCGUGGGGGAUGAAGCCCUUCGGGGUGUAAACCCCUGUUUCCGGGGACGAGGCCCCGACUCGCGAAUAGCCUGUCGGGGUGACGGUACCCGGGGAGGAAGCCCUGGCUAACCUCGUGCCAGCAGCCGCGGUAAUACGGGGAGGGCAAGUGUUGCCCGGAUUCACUGGGCUUAAAGGGGGUGUAGGCGGUCAGGUGUGUCGGACGUGAAAUCCACCGGCUUAACUGGUGGGCUGCGUUCGAUACUACCUGACUAGAGGUCGCCAGAGGAGAGCGGAACUCCCGGUGUAGCGGUGAAAUGCGUGGAUAUCGGGGAGAACGCCAGUGGGGAAGCCGGCUCUCUGGGGCGAUCCUGACGCUGAGGCCCGAAAGCUGGGGGAGCGAAGGGGAUUAGAUACCCCCGUAGUCCCAGCCGUAAACGAUGCGGGCUAGGUGUCCUCGACGUAAGUCGGGGGUACCGUAGGGAAACCGUUAAGCCCGCCGCCUGGGGAGUACACCCGCAAGGGUGAAACUCAAAGGAAUUGACGGGGGGGCGCACAAGCGGUGGAGCGCGUGGUUCAAUUCGAUGCUAACCGAAGAACCUUACCUAGGCUUGACAUGCUGGUAGUAUCCCGAUAGAAAUAUCGGGAGAUUCUGACUUGUCGGAAAGCCAGCACAGGUGCUGCACGGCUGUCGUCAGCUCGUGCCGUGAGGUGUUGGGUUAAGUCCCGCAACGAGCGCAACCCUCGCCCUUAGUUGCCACUCCUGAUAUAUAUCAGGAAGCACUCUAAGGGGACUGCCGCCGAUGAGGCGGAGGAAGGUGAGGAUGACGUCAAGUCCGUAUGGCCUUUAUGUCCAGGGCUACACACGCGCUACAAUGGGCGGUACAGAGGGUUGCAACCCCGCAAGGGGGAGCCAAUCCCUAAAACCGCCCCCAGUUCGGAUCGGGGUCUGCAAUUCGACCCCGUGAAGCCGGAAUCGCUAGUAAUCGCCGGUCAGCAAUACGGCGGUGAAUACGUUCCCGCCCCUUGUACACACCGCCCGUCACGCCAUGGAAGCCAGGGGGGCCCGAAGACUCAGGGAUUAAAACCUGGGUUUAAGGCAAGCCUGGUAACUGGGGCGAAGUCGUAACAAGGUAGCCGUACGGGAACGUGCGGCUG